UUUUUAAAUGCUUAACUGCAUCCAUUAAUAUAGGCAGUGUAGGAGUUCAGUUCAGGAACUGAUUUAUCUGGGCUAUUAAAGUCAUAUGACAAUGUGCUGAGGGCCAGAUAUGGAGGUGUUGUGCAGACUGGCACAUACAGAGUUUCUUUAUGUUCUUACAUUGUAUUAGCUGCCCACCAAGUGCUUUACUCCCACUCAGUUGGCAGGUGAGGGAUGCUGGGGCGGUGUAAUUUACGUGGUAAGCUCAUCUCACCAUCUAAGCAUUAAGAACAUAUAAUUGAGAUGCACCUCACCUUGUUUGAACUUGCUUGUUUUUUUCUGUCCUGCUCUGUAUUUGUGUUCAAUACUAUAGACCAUAGACCUUGAAUGUGGUUCAGUACUACAGGCUAUAGACCUAUAGGCCUGGCAUGACUGGGCAUUUACAGAAAUAUAAAUUUUGUUCUUCAACAGGUAGCAUAAAUGUUGCGGAAAGCAGAGUUUUAUUUGGAUUUAACAAAAGCUCUCAUCUGCCUGGAAGAGAUAUGGGAGAAUUGAAGGGAAGAAAGCAAGCUGGGAUUGGCUCUGGAAAUGAUCAGGAAAAGUGGACUGUGGAAGGAGCAGGCAGCAAGUGGAGUAGUGAAUAUUGUGGAAAUUGUGGAUGAGACCUGGGUGCAGACACAGCAUCCUGUUGUGGCCACAGCCAUGUCACCAGCACUGAGGAGUGGCACGUGGCAAGGCUGGGUUGGUGGAGACCCAGCAGCUUCAUGUCUGGGGAGGCAAAAGAAAAAGCUGAGCACAGACAGGGGAGGGACAUCCCAGCACCAAAAUAGCUUCAAAUCUGCCAGGAGGACUGGGGAUAGAAUCUAUGUCAAAAAGGGGAACCUGCAGCAUCCUCAUGGUGUCUGGCAUGGAACACAUGUUGUUUGGGACAAAUAGGUGUAUUUUUGAGAUUAUUCCAUGACUCAAAUAUGACUUCUAUGACAUUGGAUUGACUCUCUCAUCUCUGUUUAGUUUCUCUUGCAUGAGCAUUUUGACAGGGGAGAAGGAGAUGAAAAGGAGAUGAAACUGUAUCAAAUUGCUGACAACAACAGUGCAACAAUGCCAGUGCUUGACAAGUUUCUUGCUCAAUUUCACCUAUUCUGGCACAAUCAGGCACAAACCUUAGGGUCAGUUUAGGAAUGAGAUGCUUGCAGAGAGCCCUGUGUUAGAAAGCAGGGAAGGGAAGAGUUUUUCUGGGACUGCAGACAUGCUGUUUGGGUUGUGGUUUUUGAGGGAGAACAUUUGAGGAUAGGUGAGGAACCCAGUCC
rnacentral:lncRNA from 1 species